AUCAGCCAAUCUUGCUCCAUUCCUUCCUGGCAAUCUUAAUGAAACACUCAAGGAGUUGUGGGUAAAUGAUGAUUCUGUCUUCAAAUAAGGAUCUGUGCGACCUUCCAAAGAACUCAGAAUGUCUUUCAUCACAGAAGGAAGAAUGCUAUGGUCUAUUUUUGAGAUGAUUUAUGGUACUUGGAGAUGAGCUUUGUGUGUCUAGCCUUUGGCUGGCAUUCAUUGAUUUCCCCCAUAAGCACCUGGGAUGCUGCAAUUGCUGAAGAAAUAUUUGUUGAUAACACUCAUCUACAUGACUAUAAAGAGAGUUGAAAACUCUUCACAUUAACUCCACAUUACUGCAAUUCAUUUCAUGUUUAAUGAGUUAUUCCAGAGAAAGGGCAGUAGUGCUUGUCAAAAAAAAUUAAAAGGACUUAGCAUAAAAGCUGGGUGGCAUGUUGACCACAACUACACAGAGACAAGUAAUGAAAGGAGGCAGGAGAGAAAGACGAAGCCCUGCUGGGGGCUCCGGCUGGCACGUGUGCAGUCAGUGUUCCCUGACUGCAUGUGGUGUGCAGCGGGCUGCCUCUGGUCGGUGUUUGGCUGAUGGCAGAAGGUGCCAGGAAAGUGUGAAAAGCCUUAUAAAUGUGUCCUCUGAACAUCGCUGACAAGCAACUGGACUGCAGCUCUCCCAUCUGUCUCUGGCAGGGCUGCCAUCAGCCUUCCACGUCCAGGGGAGCAGCUGUGUGAUAAAUCACUCAGCAGCCCAAGGAAGUCCAAGUGUUUUCUCAUGGUGAAGAGACGGCUGCUCUCCAGGUGGUGGUGUCUGUGGAAGAGGAGCAAGUCCUAUUGAGCCGUCUCCUGCAGGGAAUUAAGUAAAGGCUUAGGGAGGGUCCUCAGAAAAUCUAGAGGGUCUGAUAUUGUUGCACAAGGCUGAAAAUUGUAUAUAUGUUAUCACAGUUAAUGCUUGCAGCAGCUCUACAAAGUGGGUAUUGUAUUGCCAUUGCAGAUUCAGAAUCGAAGGCUCUGAAAGUGUAAAUCACUUUCUGCAGAUCACAUGUCUAGGAAAUGACAGAGUGGGGGACUUAACCAAGUGGGCUGUCUUCAAAUGUGUGUCUUCUCUAGGAUAAGGACCUACAUCACCCAAAGCUGGUCAAACAACUGAACUCUUCACUCAAGCAAAUCAUGCAUAUGCACUUCUCUCAUCCUUGAGUCAUUUCCUAUAUUAGUUUCAUCUCAAAAUGUAAAUCAACCUAUAUGACUGUGUCACGUCACAUAAAGCCUCGCUACUUAGUAUGUGUUCCAGGAUCCAGAAGCAUCACCUGAGAGCUCAGUGGUAAUACAGAUCAUACCCUACUUCACUUUAACAAUUUAACAAGAUCUCAGAGGGAUGCAUAAAAGUUUA